ensembl:lncRNA
UGUUAGCUCAUCAACCAGGGGACUGGAGCAGCUGUCACUGAGAAAAGGCUAACACGUCCACUGUACUGGGAUCGGGGAAGAAGUGCCAGCACGGCAAGACAGCUGAGAAAACAACACAAAGAUGCACCAACCCUCACAGAUUCUUCAAAGUCGGACACCAGCGGUUAUCACAGCGCUUGACUGGAGGUCACUACGGAUACAACAAGGAGCAACACAGCCUGAACCACAGACCGAGAGCAUGUUUCUAAGGAUGAAGCCAGUCUCAUGGGAUAGCCAUGUUUUGUCUCCAUGACAGCUAGAUCACUCAGCCCUCUCUGCAGUGACCUCUGCACAGCAAAGGAUGCUGGGAAAUAAUGAGCACUUUUAUCCCAGUCAGGAUGACAAAGAUGGGGAGGAUGAGGAGGAGGAAGAGGAGCAGGGAAGAGAAAACAGAAAAGAAGAAGGUGAACGUGACAUGGAGAAUGGACGACUAGAGUAUCUGGAGGAAAAGGAGAUGACAGGAGGACGACAAUCCUGGGAAGGGAAAGGCGGUGAGGUGGUGAAACCAGCAGCCAUUGUGGUCGGACGACAGAGAGUAGAUCGGCCGCUGAGGCCGAGCAAUCAGGGCAACCGGGGGGUCCCUUACAUGCCCAAUAUAGCCCCGAUACAUCAUCAAGCUGCCAAUAAGCAGCAGUAUUUCAUGGCAGCAAAGAAACGAGCCCUCAUGGAGCGCAGCAUGACCACAGUGGCUCCACUGGAGGACACUUACUUGACCAUGAUGGUGUUCCGCAUUGGAAUCCCCGACAUCAAACAAACAGUAGGUGCAUCUGCUCAUAACGUGUGUGUGAAAUUCAUGAAAGGCGGAGGCCCGCACAGCCGUCCCUGGAGCUUCUUGACUGAUCAUUUAAAAGUGAAUAAAGUAGCUGAAGCAGAAUUUUUUGAAGAAAAAAACUUGUCAAACCCAGUCCAAAUCAAACAGUUUAAAAGUUUAGUUCUCCCUGUCAAAAAAAAAAAGAAAAAGAAAGAAGUCUCCCUCACACUGCACUGGAGGUCUUUCCAAAUGAGGAAGUAGUUCAAGCCAAGUCUCCCUGGUAUUACUGCCUCAGAGACAGAGAGCUUUAAUGUGACAAACAGAAAUUCCAAAAUAAUAUCUCAGGCUAUUUAAACCAUUAAGGCAGGUACACAUUUAGUUAAUGUUGCUGUUUCUGAUUCUGAUGCUAUGAUCAACUGCAGACAAAAAGCUCCAAAAAAGUCUUUUUUAUAUUUGUGACUAUUUAAAAAAAAAAGAAAAGGACAACAGCCAUUUAAUGAGAGCUGAACACUGGGCUUUGGUCACCACCUUCCCUAUUACCUCCCCUAAAACUCAGAAGCUUUUCAGUUUUCUCCCUGUCUUUUGAUUUGCUUACCUCCCUUCCCGCUUCUCUUCUAUAACCCAGCCAUUUUCCAUCCUUUGAGUUAAAACACGUCAAAUAAUACUGGUGCGUCGCUGACUCUGUCUGUUUCAAAUUAUUCACAGAAAACACCACAUGGGUGACUUGAUGCAUACAUUUUUUUUAUAUAAGUCAAACAGUGUGCUCAACUGUACAAGCACAUCUCUAAUUUCAAGGCUUUUCCAUUCCAGUUAUCCCAGGGGCUCGGAGAUGAGUCCCAAAGGGAAAUAGGAACUCACACAGAGCUCAGCUUGUGCUGAGCACCCUGCAAGGGAAAACAUAUUCAGUCAACAACACCAUGCAAGCAUCUGCCUUGGGUCAGGUGGUCAUAAUUAGUUUCCAAAACUGAAGUUAGUCUCAUUUCACACUUUGAAGCAGCUCUCAGCCUUACGGUGGCAGCAGGCGAGAAUUGGCCGGCCCACACGCACCAUAUCCAGGUGAGAAUGGGUGCCCCACUGUAACCCCUCCCCCAUCCUCCUUUCUCCAUUUUCAACUCCCUGAACAUGCCGACUGUUCUACAUGUCAGCUAAUCUGCCC